UUUUUUUUUCUUUCUUCGUUUUUUUAAAUUAUUUUUUAAAUAGGACAGUGGUCGAAUGUGUUUCAUUUUUAUCAAGUCUUGAGUUCGAUUUUCUUGGAUUGCAUUUGAUGUUUAGUGUGUUGUUUGGAUUCUCGAGCCCAAAAAGUAUAACGAGGAGCACAAUGUGAAAAUAGCAUGGGCUAGCCAGUUUUCGAACCAAUUAUUGAAAAGUAGUCACUAUUUUGCUGAAACACGAAGGUUCCAGCAUAAUAUGCGGGAUUAUGGAGAUCCCACGUAUAAACUUCUAGCAUGUUAUGUUGGAACUCAAGCAUACGGAAAGUUCCAGCAUAAUAUGCUGAAGCUCAUAGUAAAAAAUUCGAACUCCUGCAUAUUAUGCUAGAAUAUUUCUAGAUUUUUAAGGGUAUUUUUAUUCAGAUUUUAUCUUUACAUGAAAAAAUAGCUAAAUUUCGUUACUUUUGAAAAAAUGGCUAUUUUUCCAUUAUCAGUUGUAAAUUUGACUAUUUUUUAUUUUUUCCCGAUUUUGAUGACUAGGUUUAAUGUAUGGUGAAAGAAAAGAUCACUAAGCUACCUCAAAUACAAAUGCUUAUGCUAAAUUAUCGUAAAAAUAAUACGGUAUAACACAUUUUUUGGACUAGUCAUUCAAAAAUAGUCAGCGUUUAUCAAGUCAAUGAAAAAUAGCCACUAUUUUGCUGCAGCAGAGACCAGUCCAGCAUAAUAUACUGGAGUACGGUGCACCUGUGUAUGAACUCCAGCAUAUUAUGCUGGACCAGUAUACUUUGCUGGCUCCAGUAUAAUAUACUGGAGACUGGAGCACCGGUGCUCCAAACUCCAGUAUAUUAUGCUGGACCGGUAUACUUGCUGGAACUCCAGUAUAUUAUGCUGGAGUUAGGGGUGUACAUAGGUCGGGUUGGUUCGGAUUUUACAAUUACCAAACCAAACCAAUUGUGUCGGGUUAUUAAAUCUAAAGACCAAACCAAACCAAUAAAACUCGAAAUUUUCACUCUCGGUUUUUCUCGGUUUUUCGGGUUAUUCGGAUUUUUUUGGUAUUUUUUCUGGUAAAAUCUUCGUAGAACAAAANNNNNNNNNNNNNNNNNNNNNNNNNNACUUUUGAAACUGGGCUAUUUUUGAACGACCAGUUGUAAAUCUGGCUAUUUUUGAAUUUAACCCUAAAUUAUCUAUUCGUUUUACUUUAUUUGACACUUUAAUUAAUCGUCUAAACAAGAAUGUUAUAAUUUUAUAUUUUUUAAAAGAAUUUUUUUUAUAUAUACAUAAAUAUUACAAUAUAUUUUAGAGCACAAGUUCUCGAAGUUUUUCGUUUCUUGAAUUUCGUACCGAAUAACUAUGUGAAACAAAGUGGAACGAGGAGAGUUGCAAAUAAAUGUUAGGUACUCGUAUAUAUAAUUUUCUUUUCCGAAAAAUAAUAGGUGGUGUUUGUUUUGACUUUUUUCAAAACUGCAUUUUCAAGGUCGAUUCAUAAGGGUUUUUUUUUUUUUUUUUUUUAAUUGAGCUGUUUUAUAAAAAAGAAAAAAGAACUCAUUUUGAAGAUUUCUGAACUCAAUUAAAAAACUCCAAAAAACUAGAUCAAUAACCAAUGGCGUGCAAGUCUUUACAUAUCUCUUGUGCCAUUUGCUCUUUUUUCAAAGGACAAGAUCAAUGACCAAUGGCGUGCAUACAUAUCUACAAAUUAUUGAAAAUUUUAAAAUUUUUUAUUCAUUUUACAUAAAAUUAAUGAUUGUUUUUUUCUUCAAAAUUAAUAAAUUCUGUUAUCAACUUCAGUUAGAUAUUCAUUCAAAUCCACACCGUGUGAGGCGGUAAAGGUCAACAAACAAUCAUAAUUUAGUAAUUUUCUUUAUCUUCUCCAAUUUGAUUUGUUUUUCUAUUGCCUUGAAUAAUCAGCCUAUAUAAAUCCUUAUCAAAUGGUGUAAACAAUUAUUAUGACAUGAGUUGUUAACGUUUUGCCACAUCAAUAUAGUGGCCAUGAAUUAUUGAGGCCCCAACAGGCAAAAAAAAAAAAUCUGUGACAUACUUAUUAUAAUGUAAUAGCAUAAUUCACUAGUGAUAUUGUCGUUUUGGGUCUAGAUCUGCAUGGCUUUUUACCAAUUAUAAUCUUGAUCUUUUCUUAGAAUAAAAGGGAGAACAUAACAUGUUUUUCCUAAUUCGUCGAGGUUAUGGAGUGUACUAAAGAAAUGUAAUACAACAACAACAACUAAGUAUAAUCCCACUUAGUGGGGUCUGGGGAGGGUAGUGUGUACACAGACCUUACCCCUACCCUAGGGUAGAGAGACUGUUUCCAAAUAGACCCCCGACAUCCUUCCCUCCAAGAACUUCCCACCUUGCUCUUGGGGAGACUCGAACUCACAACCUCUCGAUUGGAAGUGGGGGUUGCUUACCAUCAGAGCAACCCCUCUUGUCUUUU
rnacentral:lncRNA from 1 species